rnacentral:rRNA from 1 species
GUUUCCUAAUAGGUAAACACUUGUAUCCGGCGCGCCGGCCGAACUUUCGGCCGGUCGCGCUGCUCUCGUCGCGUACACGCGCAAGUGCCGCACGCACACCACGCAUCCAUUGGUCCCACGUGCAUCACUCAGGCACCCCGUCCUUAUCCCAGCAGCCCCACGUCCUUAUCUUCACCAACUGCUCAUCCACACAAACCUCAUCCUCUCACUCACCUCUCACCUGCCUCGCCUUUGUCUCCCGCUCGCGCCGUUGCAUCCUUGCUCCGGCGAGCCCCACCACUAGCCACGCGAGGAGCUGCAACUGGAGGACGGAGGAGCUGCUACCGGCCACUCCGGGAGCUGCAACCGGCGGGGAGAGGAGCUACAAGCCGGGAACUAAACCGAUGACCGCCGUGCUGGAUUCAGCACGCCUGGGUGCUGCAACCGGCAGAUCAAAUAGCUACAACUACCUUUUGUUUUUGCUGGGACCGGUGAGGAAUUUCGCUGCGACCAUCGACGCGAGCGUCGACGGGGAGCAUGGCAGCAACUGUCGACGAUGAGGGCAAACCGGGGAGGGCGGACACACACAGCGUGACGUGGUGGCGAGGUGCGGCUGCCAUGUGCUUGUGUUUUUUUUGUCAGAUCUCAUGCACGGUGGGGAAUUAAGGGAUGGGCAGGGGAAGGAUCAAACGGCUGACAGGAGCAGAAUCGUACGGCUCGCGGGUGACCGGCCCAAAUUUGGGCCGGCGCGCCGGCGCCUAUUAUCGCCCUUCCUAAUACGAUGGGGAGGAUGGGAGAUGCUUUGUACGGACCUUUUCACAACUACCUUUAUCUCUGUUAGGAUUAUUAAUUAGUUAGUUUAAUUAAUAGAAAUCCCUGCUUAACAAACCGUCAUGCGGUUUGCUCUCCUGAUGGGUCAUGUCCUGUUGUAAAGGACGCGUUCUUUCAAUCCAUCGCUUGUAAACGUCGCGCCUGUGCGACCCAUCCCUUCUAGGGAUAUAAAUAUGUACAUCAUCAGCAUCCAUCAAAAGCGAUUGAUUACUGUUUAUUCGCACAGUUUCUUUACAUGUCAUCAUGCACGUCUCUCCAGCGAGAGCGACAAGGCCGCAGAAGAACUCGUCGGAGAAGAAUCUGGAAUGGUGAGGAUGCCGUCCCUUGCCUCUCUUCUCCUUGGCCUUCUCUGGGCAGAGGGUCGCCGCCAUUUCCUUGCGGAGCAGCGCUGCCGGUUCCUCCGCCAUCGAUGGGGGGCACCACCAGCAGUUUCUGUCCUCGGCAUUAACCACCGGCAGAACUUUGCUUGAGGACGCCGCCAUCACGUGACCGCUGGACGACACCGUCGCACCACGCCGGUGAAGCGACGCCUGGCCAUGCCGGUGGACAACCGCCAGGGUCUUGACCCAGGGCUAGUCCCGGACCGAGUGCUCCACUGCCACAGAACGCCGGGAUGGGCGUGCCAGAGCUUGCAGUUGCCGCACCAUCCACACCAUGGUGGUGCCAUGUGCACGGAUAUGGCCCGUGCUCCGCUCGCUCCAGUGGCACACGUCUGCCGUCACCAACGCCGACAGAGGAGGAGGAGCGGGAGAUCGUCGACGACGUACCUGCACGCGGCUACAGCCCAACUUCGAUGCGCGUCGCCAGCGCAGGGGGCGAUGGCCUCGUCUUAAUCCCAACUCCAGGACACGCCAUGGCCACCGCGGGCACAGUCACCAUUGCCGGAGCAAGUGGCAGCAUUGGUCCAGGGCCUGAAGUGGACGCCGCGGGGACAAAUAGCAGUACUGUAGCAGUGGGCUGUGCUAUUGGUUUGGGUCUUCCUGUUUGCGACCCAGGACCAUUUUUUUGUUUUUUCUUUUUCUGUUUAGUUCUUUAAUUAG